rnacentral:rRNA from 1 species
GCGUAUAUUAAAGUUGUUGCAGUUAAAAAGCUCGUAGUCGGAUGUCGGGCUCGGGCAGGCUGUCGGCUUCGGUCGGACGGCAGGCUCGGGUCUUUCUGCCUGAGGAUCCCGUUGCACUUAAUUGUGGGGCGUGGGGACGCAGGCCGUUUACUUUGAAAAAAUUAGAGUGUUCAAAGCAGGCCUACGCUUGAAUACAUUAGCAUGGAAUAAUGGAAUAGGACUUUGGUGCUAUUUUGUUGGUUUAUGGGACCGAAGUAAUGAUUAACAGGGACAGUUGGGGCCGUUUAUAUUUCGUUGUCAGAGGUGAAAUUCUUGGAUUUACGAAAGAUAAACUUCUGCGAAAGCAUUCGGCAAGGAUGUUUUCAUUGAUCAAGAACGAAAGUUAGGGGAUCGAAGACGAUCAGAUACCGUCGUAGUCUUAACCAUAAACUAUGCCGACUAGGGAUCAGUGGAUGUCAAUUUGCGACUCCAUUGGCACCUUGUGAGAAAUCAAAGUUUUUGGGUUCCGGGAGGAGUAUGGUCGCAAGGCUGAAACUUAAAGGAAU